rnacentral:lncRNA from 1 species
CAAGUAUCAUUCCCGUCGUGAGUCUAACUUUGCACAUAUGGAUCAUCUGGAAGAUGCAACUACAUCAAUGGAGAUAUCAGAUUUUCAGAUGGUGUCAGCUUCUAUGGAUGAAUAAAUUAGACAUGUUUUUAGGGUGUUUACCCUUAGUGGCCAAACCCACUAGCAGUGGCCGGCCCUACCCCCUAUUUUUCUAGGUUUAUGGUUUAAUUUUGAACAAUUUUUCUAAGUAUUUGGAAUAAUUUGUUUGGUUUUGGAUUGCUUUGAAUUAUGGAUU